UACGUAGGCAGCGAGCGUUGUUCGGAGUUACUGGGCGUAAAGGGUGUGUAGGCGGUUGUUUAAGUUUGGUGUGAAAUCUCCCGGCUCAACUGGGAGGGUGCGCCGAAUACUGAGUGACUAGAGUGUGGGAGAGGUGAGUGGUAUUCCUGGUGUAGCGGUGAAAUGCGUAGACAUCAGGAGGAACACCGGUGGUGUAGACGGCUCACUGGACCAUAACUGACGCUGAGACACGAAAGCGUGGGUAGCAAACAGG
rnacentral:rRNA from 1 species